AUUGAACGCUGGCGGCAUGCCUUACACAUGCAAGUCGAACGGCAGCACGGGUGCUUGCACCUGGUGGCGAGUGGCGAACGGGUGAGUAAUACAUCGGAACAUGUCCUGUAGUGGGGGAUAGCCCGGCGAAAGCCGGAUUAAUACCGCAUACGAUCCACGGAUGAAAGCGGGGGACCUUCGGGCCUCGCGCUAUAGGGUUGGCCGAUGGCUGAUUAGCUAGUUGGUGGGGUAAAGGCCUACCAAGGCGACGAUCAGUAGCUGGUCUGAGAGGACGACCAGCCACACUGGGACUGAGACACGGCCCAGACUCCUACGGGAGGCAGCAGUGGGGAAUUUUGGACAAUGGGCGAAAGCCUGAUCCAGCAAUGCCGCGUGUGUGAAGAAGGCCUUCGGGUUGUAAAGCACUCUUGUCCGGAAAGAAAUCCUUGACUCUAAUACAGUCGGGGGAUGACGGUACCGGAAGAAUAAGCACCGGCUAACUACGUG
rnacentral:rRNA from 1 species